rnacentral:rRNA from 1 species
GGCUUAGAGUUUGAUCAUGGCUCAGGAUAAACGCUGGCGGCGCACAUAAGACAUGCAAGUCGAACGGACUUAAUCGAUUCUUUUAGAUUCGAAGCGGUUAGUGGCGGACUGGUGAGUAACACGUAAGCAACCUGCCUAUUAGAGGGGAAUAACAGUGAGAAAUCACUGCUAAAACCGCAUAUGCCGUGAACAUCGCAUGAUGAGAACGGGAAAAGAACAAUCUGCUAAUAGAUGGGCUUGCGUCUGAUUAGCUAGUUGGUGUGGUAAAGGCAUACCAAGGCAACGAUCAGUAGCCGGACUGAGAGGUUGAACGGCCACAUUGGGACUGAGAUACGGCCCAGACUCCUACGGGAGGCAGCAGUCGGGAAUAUUGCGCAAUGGAGGAAACUCUGACGCAGUGACGCCGCGUAUGGGAAGAAGGUUUUCGGAUUGUAAACCAUUUUAGACAAGGAAGAAACAAGACAGUACUUGUAGAAUAAGCUCCGGCUAACUACGUGCCAGCAGCCGCGGUAAUACGUAGGGAGCAAGCGUUAUCCGGAUUUAUUGGGUGUAAGGGUGCGUAGACGGGAAGGUAAGUUAGUUGUGAAAUCCCUCGGCUCAACUGAGGAACUGCGACUAAAACUGCUUUUCUUGAGUGCUGGAGAGGAAAGUG